rnacentral:rRNA from 1 species
CCUACGGGCGGCAGCAGUGGGGAAUAUUGGGCAAUGGAGGCAACUCUGACCCAGCAAUGCCGCGUGAGUGAUGAAGGUAAUUUUAUUGUAAAGCUCUUUUCUUUGGAACGAAUAAAUGACGGUACCAAAGGAAUAAGCCCCGGCUAACUACGUGCCAGCAGCCGCGGUAAUACGGAGGAUGCGAGCGUUAUCCGGAUUUAUUGGGUUUAAAGGGUGCGCAGGCGGAAGAUCAAGUCAGCGGUAAAAUUGAGAGGCUCAACCUCUUCGAGCCGUUGAAACUGGUUUUCUUGAGUGAGUGAGAAGUAUGCGGAAUGCGUGGUGUAGCGGUGAAAUGCAUAGAUAUCACGCAGAACUCCGAUUGCGAAGGCAGCAUACCGGCGCUCAACUGACGCUCAUGCACGAAAGUGUGGGUAUCGAACAGGAUUAGAUACCCUUGUAGUC